rnacentral:rRNA from 1 species
AGUAGCAGUGGGGGGAAUUUUGGACAAUGGGCGAAAGCCUGAUCCAGCGACGCGCGUGAGGACGAAGCCCUUUCGGGGUGUAAACUCUGUGUGAGGGACGAAUAAAGAUCUGGAGGGAAAUGCCAGAUCGAUGACGGUACCUCACGAGAAAGCCCCGGCUAACUACGUGCCAGCAGCCGCGGUAAUACGUAGGGGGGCGAGCGUUACCCGGAUUCACUGGGCGUAAAGGGGGCGCAGGCGAUCCAGUAUGUCGGGUGUGAAAUCCCACAGCUCAACUGUGGAAUUGCGCCCGAAACUACUGGGUUUGGGGCUGGUAGAGGGAGACGGAACUGCUGGUGUAGGGGUGAAAUCCGUAGAUAUCAGCAGGAACGCCGGUGGGGAAGCCGGUCUCCUGGGCCAAGCCCGACGCUGAGGCCCGAAAGCUAGGGGAGCAAACCGGAUUAGAUACCCGGGUAGUCCUAGCCGUAAACGAUGCCCACUAGGUGUGGGGGAGUCAUUCCUCCGUGCUGUAGCUAACGCGUUAAGUGGGCCGCCUGGGGAGUACGCCCGCAAGGGUGAAACUCAAAGGAAUUGGCGGGACCCCGCACAAGCGGUGGAGCGUGUGGUUUAAUUGGAUGCUAAGCCAAGAACCUUACCAGGGCUUGACAUGCAGGUGGUACCAACCCGAAAGGGAAGGGACCCUUUCCUUUUGGAAAGGGAGCCUGCACAGGUGGUGCACGGCCGUCGUCAGCUCGUGCCGUGAGGUGUUGGGUUAAGUCCCGCAACGAGCGCAACCCCUGCCCUUAGUUGCCAGCGGUUCGGCCGGGCACUCUAAGGGGACCGCCGGCGACGAGCCGGAGGAAGGAGGGGACGACGUCAGGUACUCGUGCCCUUUAUGCCCUGGGCUACACACGCGCUACAAUGGGUGGUACAGUGGGUCGCGACCUCACGAGAGGGAGCCAAUCCCCAAAACCAUCCUCAGUUCAGAUCGCAGGCUGCAACCCGCCUGCGUGAAGCCGGAAUCGCUAGUAAUCGCGGAUCAGCCAUGCCGCGGUGAAUACGUUCCCGGGGUU